AUACUACCUAUACUCAGCCUGGUUGCCCUACUGUAUGCAGGGAUUGGGCUUUUUUGGGGUUUUUUUAAUUAAAAAGCAAGAAGUUCAGAGGUCAACAUAGGCUUCCAAGCAAAAUAUUGGCCAAUUUGGACCAAACAUCAUGUCCUGCAACAUAAGAGGGAUCUUCACACAAAAAAGAAGCAAGUAACAAUCUGUUUCAUCCUUGUGACUCAAGUCUGGGUUUGGCGUUACAGAGCGUAAGUGGCAAACUAUGCUGCAUCUACACUCCAUUGUCUCCUGCAAUUAUUUCUCACAGAGCAAAGAAAACCUCAAGACACAAAAAGAUCUACACCCAACAUGCAGUGACAUCUGGCUGCCUUUUCCACCAGGGUUCAGCAGCUCUUCGUUAUUUAGGUAACCACUGUGAACUGUUAAUUCUAUGUUUAUUGUCUUCAAAUUAUUAUGAUCUUCACCUUUACAUACCAACGUUUCUAGAUUCAAUACAUUACUCAUUCCAUAAAAUUAUCUGUAUUUAUUUUUUAAAGAUAGUAAUACCCCCAUGAAUAAAACAAAAAAAAUAGUCCUUUUUUCCAAGACAAAAAUCUUAUUUCCCUCCUCUUUCCUGCUAUUCAGUAUAUAAUACUACAGAAGGACAUCAAUGAGAAAACCUUCCCAUUUUCUUCCUUUAUGUCAAUAUACAGCAGAUGUCCUCUGAAAGCUGAUAAAUAGUACAAAAUGGGUGCAGUGUUUACUUUUGGAGGGCGGAUGUUAGGAAGUCAGGCUCAAGAAACUGAGACAGCCUUACCUUGAACAUUCAUCAGUGAGCAAAGUGAGAUAACUGUGUGUCUUGGAAGUGCUCUGUUCCCAGCCUCUGGAAUCCCAGGUUCCCAUUCUGAACAUUGAUCUUUUUCAUAGCAAUAUCCCACUGUCAGCCUAACCGUCCACCUAUCUUACUAAAAUAACUACUGCAAAAGUAGCACCAUCUUAUUCUGCAUAAACCAUCUGCCAGACAUGUGUUUGAAUUCUGUAAAAUUCACUCAAAUUACUUGAGCAAGUCGUACAUUCCUCAGGGAAAGUCUUCUGGGCUACCUGGAAUUUUUAUUUUGUAAGAGAAUUAGUAAUGCACACUAUCAACCUUAGUAAUGCAGGGGAAAAAAAGUGCAGGUGCAGCACACGUCUACUGAGGUUGCUGCCUGUUUCACAUACCCUGUCCAGCCCUAAAUAGCUACAGAAUGUGCCAAUCCACUGACCCCAAGAGAUUGAUAGCCUUUAAAAAGAGAUUCAUAAGAAUUGGAUUUAAUUCCAGUACUGGCAUGAACUCCUGAAUUACCUCAAAUAUUUUGAUCUUGCUGCCCCCCUUCAACCAUUGCAAAGUAAGAGAAGACUGAUUUUGUGAUUCAUGAAUGCUGAAACAAACUUGGUGCAUUAGAAGUUCACACUGAAUAUUCUAGAGCUUUUGCAAUGUUAAAGGACAAAGUAUUUAGGAAAGUUGCAUUUGCCUGAGGUACAACAGUUCCUAAAUGAAACCUCAUUUAAUAGACAAAAGCAGUACAAGUGAAUGUCAUGAAGAAAUCAAUAUUCUCUUCAGAAAAAAAAAAGACAGCAAAACAUACAUCCAAUAAUUUGACAGUACACACAUCUCUGGACUUUGGGACAAAGGACUCAGACAGAGAAAUGCAAUAUUUAACUUUUGUCAGCCUCUUCAUUCUAAUGGCUUUUGCUGUUUCGCAAAAUCACAGUUUUUGAGAAAGCCACUAGAAGGUAAAAUUCUCGUGAGCAAAUACAAGAGUAAUUAAAGGUUACAAAC